GACGAACGCUGCGGCGUGCGUAACACAUGCAAGUCGAACGAGAGAGUGAGAGAAGCUUGCUUUUCUUACGAUCGAGUGGCAAACGGGUGAGUAACGCGUAAACAACCUGCCCCGCAGAUGGGGACAACAGCUGGAAACGGCUGCUAAUACCGAAUACGGUCCUCUUAGCGCAUGGUAAGAGGAAGAAAGGGUGGCCUCUGGAACAAGCUACCGCUGCGGGAGGGGUUUGCGUCUGAUUAGCUGGUUGGAGGGGUAACGGCCCACCAAGGCGACGAUCAGUAGCCGGUCUGAGAGGAUGAACGGCCACAUUGGAACUGAGACACGGUCCAGACUCCUACGGGAGGCAGCAGUGGGGAAUCUUCCGCAAUGGGCGAAAGCCUGACGGAGCAACGCCGCGUGAGUGAAGACGGCUUCGGGUUGUAAGGCUCUGUUAUAGGGGACGAACGGCCGGGUAGCGAAGAGGUAGCCGGCAUGACGGUACCGUAGAGAAAGCCC
rnacentral:rRNA from 1 species